rnacentral:tRNA from 1 species
UUCCUGGUGGUACAGUGGAUAAGACUCUGUACUCUUAAUGCAGGGGGCCCAGGUUCAAUCCCUAGUCAGGGAG